rnacentral:rRNA from 1 species
ACGCUGGCGGCAGGCCUAACACAUGCAAGUCGAGCGGUAGAGAGAAGCUUGCUUCUCUUGAGAGCGGCGGACGGGUGAGUAAUGCCUAGGAAUCUGCCUGGUAGUGGGGGAUAACGUCCGGAAACGGACGCUAAUACCGCAUACGUCCUACGGGAGAAAGCAGGGGACCUUCGGGCCUUGCGCUAUCAGAUGAGCCUAGGUCGGAUUAGCUAGUUGGUGGGGUAAUGGCUCACCAAGGCGACGAUCCGUAACUGGUCUGAGAGGAUGAUCAGUCACACUGGAACUGAGACACGGUCCAGACUCCUACGGGAGGCAGCAGUGGGGAAUAUUGGACAAUGGGCGAAAGCCUGAUCCAGCCAUGCCGCGUGUGUGAAGAAGGUCUUCGGAUUGUAAAGCACUUUAAGUUGGGAGGAAGGGCAGUUACCUAAUACGUGAUUGUUUUGACGUUACCGACAGAAUAAGCACCGGCUAACUCUGUGCCAGCAGCCGCGGUAAUACAGAGGGUGCAAGCGUUAAUCGGAAUUACUGGGCGUAAAGCGCGCGUAGGUGGUUCGUUAAGUUGGAUGUGAAAUCCCCGGGCUCAACCUGGGAACUGCAUUCAAAACUGACGAGCUAGAGUAUGGUAGAGGGUGGUGGAAUUUCCUGUGUAGCGGUGAAAUGCGUAGAUAUAGGAAGGAACACCAGUGGCGAAGGCGACCACCUGGACUGAUACUGACACUGAGGUGCGAAAGCGUGGGGAGCAAAC